rnacentral:rRNA from 1 species
AUUGAACGCUGGCGGCAGGCCUAACACAUGCAAGUCGAGCGAGCGGCGGACGCGUGUGUGAUGUAUGGGAACUGCCCGACUGAGGGGGGUAACUACUGGAAACGGUGGCUAAUACCGCAUACUGUCGGCUAACACAUAUGGGAUUAGCUAGUGGGUAAGGUAAUGGCUUACCUAGGCGACGAUCCCUAGCUGGUCUGAGAGGAUGAUCAGCCACACUGGGACUGAGAAACGGCCCAGACUCCUACGGAGGAGGCAGUGGGGAAGAUUGCACGAUGGGCGAAAGCCUGAUGCGGCAAUGCCGCGUGUAUGAAGAAGGCCCUAGGGUUGUAAAGUACUUUCAGUCGGGAGGCGUUACCGACAGAAGAAGCACCGGCUAAAUCCGUGCCAGCAGCCGCGGUAAUUC